GCCGGGGUGGCGGAGUCUGGUUAACGCGCGGGCAAUUCGGUCCGUCUCAGAGGUAAGGCGGCCGAAUCCGCAUCUCGAGAUCAUCCGACUUGACAGCCCGUGACCUAACGGUCAUGUGGGUUCAAAUCCCACCCCCGGCG
rnacentral:tRNA from 1 species